CCUACGGGUGGCUGCAGUGGGGAAUUUUCCGCAAUGGGCGAAAGCCUGACGGAGCAAGACCGCGUGGGGGAGGAAGGUUCUUGGAUUGUCAACCCCUUUUCUCAGGGAAGAAGAAAGUGACGGUACCUGAGGAAGAAGCAUCGGCUAACUCCGUGCCAGCAGCCGCGGUAAUACGGGGGAUGCAAGCGUUAUCCGGAAUGAUUGGGCGUAAAGAGUCCGUAGGUGGCUCAUCAAGUCUGCUGUUAAAGAGCGAGGCUUAACUUCGUAAAAGCAGUGGAAACUGAAGAGCUAGAGUAUAGUAGGGGCAGAGGGAAUUCCUGGUGUAGCGGUGAAAUGCGUAGAGAUCAGGAAGAACACCGGUGGCGAAAGCGCUCUGCUGGGCUAAAACUGACACUGAGGGACGAAAGCUAGGGGAGCGAAUGGGAUUAGAUACCCCUGUAGUC
rnacentral:rRNA from 1 species